AUUCAGAGGACAUGUUUCAAAUAUGAAUUAUUUUACUUUUCUAUGUUGUUAGUUGUCGAUCACACUCCUGCAAAUUUGCUUCCACCACGGUUUAUACGUGUUCUGCUCCUGGAUGUAAUUCCAGCAAAAGUAAGGAUUCUAAAGUGAGCAUUCAUCACUUCUCAAUAAAGGAUUCAACCAUGUUGGCAAAGUGGCUAAGGUCCAUUUCGAGAGACACAAGUUAUUAGAAGCCAUCAGCUAGUUCAAGAUUGUGUAACAAGCAUUUUAUAUCCAAUGAUUUCGUCGUUGUAUCUGUGGACGCAUGACCUGACAAAGGGAGAUCUCUUCAGCUCUGACGUUUGAAAGGGGAUGCUAUUCCAUCACAAUGGCCUAAUCUUCCUACCCACCUGCCUACCUAUCAUCACCACCACCACCCACCCCUAGACCAACGAGAGCCUCAACUACCAGCCAAAAAUUCCAGUUACAAAACGAACGUUUCAAAGUAUUAGAUACUUUGUUUUUGCAAGAGACAGUCCACUCGACAAAAAAUCUCUACAUGUAGCUCUCUUCUCAAACAUUGCCUUCAGGAUUUGUUUUGCUGAAAGUUCCAAAAGUUGCUCUGGUCAAUAUAAUCCAUUCAGAUGACAAAGGAUUUGAUAUUUCUGCCGGCUCGAAGUGGAAGAUGACUUAUCAUUCAAAAUAUAUUGUUAUCUUACCCAACUCAAAAACAGUUGUGUAUUUCACUGUCUAAGAUUUUCUGAAAGAAUCGACUCUGUAACGGAAGCCAUCAGCGUUGGAUUUUUUUUGGGAUCCAAUGAGCUUCAGACAGACACGGACACAUAUGAUAAUAUUUGUAACCAAUUUCUUCAAUUCAUUAACUCUGCAGACAUUAAUCAUCUACAAUAUUCGAAGCUUUUAUUAUUUUCAACAAAUGAUCAUCAUCUUCAAGUCUCCUAAGGCUCUCUAUUGUCUUGAUGUGGCAGAAUGUCAGUCCAGCUCUUUACCAUAUACAACAUAAGCAUUCUCUGAAUGAUAACAAUUCUUGUUGUUACAGUUGAUUUUGCUGUUACAAGGUACAAUCAUCAUAGAUGUCGAUCAUCCUCAGACAACUCAUCACAAUCAUGGGAAUAUUUUCCUCCUCACAGUUCAUAAUGUGGACAUUCUAAAUCGAAACGUUUAUUUGGUUGUAAUGAACUACAAACAUCAUAGAGGGAUUUACUUCACCUAUCUCGGUUAUCUGUAUUGUUGAAGGAAUGUCAUAUUUUACAUAUUUAGAGAGAUAUCAUGGACUUUAAUCAUCUGCAGAUCUGUUUAAACAACAUUAACAUCCUUUCAAUUAUAAGAAAUAUUUUAUCUUAUUUAUGUCCAUCACAUUCACAGGUUUUGGGUGAAAUAUUCAUAAUGGGUAUAUAAAUAUCUCAAUGACAAUUAUAUGAAGAUUUGUGAACGACAUCAGUUGCCUCUACAGACAGAGGUUUUUCAUCGUUAUUUAUAUAAUGCUUUACCUAUAUUAAGUAGUGAAGUAAUAUUUCAUAAAUAAACGUAGGUAAUGCAUCCAUACGAAAUCCAGAAGUUUAUUUUGUUGUAAUGAAGAACAAUCUUAAUAUACGAAGGAAUUAAGAUUUACCCAUCUAUACGGUCGUGAUAUGAAUAUUUCAUUCUACAUGAUUAAAGAUAUCAUGGACGUCCAUCAUCUCCAAACAUGUAUUAGUUUCAUUAACAGUAUCUAAAUAAUGAUAAUUCUUGUCGUAAUUGUUGAUUUUGUCGUUAUGAAACAAUUCAAUCAUCAUGGAUGAUGUCAUUUAGUUUCUUACAUCUAUGUACAUCGUUGGGAAAGGAAUCCUAUGUUCUUCAAAUUUAAACUUGCAAAUAAAGAAAAAUGACGAUCUGAAGAUAUGUGAACGACAUCAAGUGUCUUUAAAAGCAAAUGAUUCUGCGUGUUACAUUUCAUCAUGUGACCCUUACAAAUCUGAGAGUAUAUUGACGUUUCUAUAUUUUUAAGAUACCAAUUAUAGACUCUAUUUAAUUGUAGAAACAGAUUUUUCCCAUUUUAGUGAAGUGUAACGACCAUUGACGAAUAGAUUCAGUUUCCCCCAUCUACAUGUUGAGAUUACAUCAGUACUCUCUGAAUAUUGACCAUUCUCGUCGUAUUGGAUUAACUCAAUCAUGACUGAUGGAAGGGAUUAAGCAUGAUUCAUCUAUAUGGUCCGUCCUAGAUGGAAUUGAAUUAUCUACACUUUUAGUAAUAUCAUAGACGUCUAUCAUCUUCGGACCUGCCAAAACUAUCAGCAUCCUUUUAAUGAUGAAAACUAUCGCCGUUUAUUGGAUUAGAUCAAUCAUGACUGACGAAAUGGAUUAAGCAUGACAUAGUUAUACGUUGGUAGACGGAAUCGAAUAUUCUACAUAUUUAAUGACGUCGUUGGUGUUGUGAUAAUCAUCAUGGAUUCAGCUUCACCUAUCUACAUGGUGGGAGUAGGAAUAUCGUACUCUACAUAUUUAGUCGUAUCUUGAAUGUAGAUUCUCUUUAGACCAGUCAAUGUUACAUCAGCACUCUCUGAAUGAUAGAUAUGAGGAAGCGAAGACUCUCACAACCAUUCCAAACAAGUCGACCAAGUAUUUUCACUUCACGGAGGAAAUUUGACUACACUGUUUAAAUAUAAGUUUAUCAAAGUAAUUGGAAAACUUUGUGUCGCCCCUGGUUGCCUUAGUGGCUAAAGGCUAAAGUAUUAAAUUAAUGCUUUACUACAUGCUAACUAAGUCUGAGAAGAAAUAUCCUCCCCUCGCCAAAAGACGUUUUCACAUUUUUCCAAAGGAUAAGGAACGACGAAGUCUUUGGAUAAAAGCUCUCUUUUUUAACAAUUAUCCAUUAGGAGCCUUCAAAAUAUUCUGCUAUAUGUAACCCGUAUUUUUUUAUCUCCGGACUAUCCAAUUCCAUCAGUGGAUACGAACAACUAUCGGCUUAAGGAUAUCUCUAAAAAUAUUAAACAAGGAUUCUACACCAACACAGUUUCCAAACAUGCCCUCCCAUUUUUACGAGUCAGCCAAAAUAGUGAGGAGCAAAGCAUCUCUCUCUUCGACUUGGAUCUUAAAAGAAAAUAAACUGGACAGAGCUUGUUUACCCGAUUGGAUUUAUGAGUGUUUUGACUCCAUUGAUAUUUCAUAAUCUUAAAUUUUCGGAUUCACAUGGAUUUUUCAUCGGAGUUUGUGCCAAAGGAAUGUUGUACAGGAACAAUGAACUUUCAUUUCAACUACUGAAAAACAUCAUUGACAAUAAUCAUAUUAAUGAGUAUGAUAUUUUAUUGAAAAUACUGGACUAUUUGAAUUCCUUGUCUAUUUCCGAUUUUAUUUUGAUUUAAUCAAAAGAGUUUAAAAAAAUAACUUAAUAGCGAGUAAGCCUUUAUUAUCAGAAUAUCUUCAAUGCUUAAAAUAAUUUGUAUUGUUUGUUAAUGUUUUAACGCAAUAAAAAAUAAUUUGUUCUAAUAAAAAAUGUAUUUCGAAUCUGAAA
rnacentral:lncRNA from 1 species